UACGUAGGUGGCAAGCGUUGUCCGGAUUUAUUGGGUUUAAAGGGAGCGUAGGCGGUCUUGUAAGUCAGUGGUGAAAUCUCUUCGCUUAACGAAGAAACUGCCAUUGAUACUGCAGGACUUGAGUACAGAUGCUGUGGGCGGAAUAUGACAUGUAGUGGUGAAAUACAUAGAGAUGUCAUAGAACACCGAUUGCGAAGGCAGCUCACAAAACUGUAACUGACGCUGAGGCUCGAAAGUGCGGGGAUCAAACAGG
rnacentral:rRNA from 1 species